CAGCAUUAGAAUUGAUCCUAUUAUGUUAAAAUCGUAGAGUUUAGCCUUGGCAUUUCAAGGACUUGCAUCAACAUCUGGCCUAUGCUUAGGACAGCAUGCUUGAGGAGGAGGAGGAGGGGAAGGAAAUUUGUACCUGCCAAUAUUUCAGUAAGUUCUUUGUCAGGCUUAAAGUCAAACUAUAGUCACCACCUUUUAAACUGUUUCAGCUAAUUAAUUAGUCGUUACACAAUUAUGACAUAUUUACCUGGCUGCAAUGGAGGGAUGGAAAAGCAUAAGCAGCAAGCAGAACAAGCGCAGAAGAAAAUAUAAAAACCCCAUGGAUGUCUAGGAUUAGAGAAAAGUACUCGCAGAUCAAGG
rnacentral:lncRNA from 1 species